rnacentral:tRNA from 1 species
UGCGGGAUGGAGCAGCCUGGUCAGCUCGUCAGGCUCAUAACCUGAAGGUCAUUGGUUCGAAUCCAAUUCCCGCUACCA